UGGCCCACGGUCGGGAUGCGUUACGGUUAUGCUGUCAGCAAUCCUCGGCGCGGAUCAGAAAUAUGCUCACGAAUUGAGCCGGUUCGGCCGCGAUUCUGGAUUAAUGCCGCCCACUACUUCAUUUAAUGUACCCAGCCGUUGUACUCCCUCCGUCCAAAAAUACUUGUCCUCGAAAUGGUUGUAUCUAGACUUAUUUUAGUUAUAGAUACAUUUAUUUUAUCCAUUUGGAGGACAAGUAUUUCCGGACGGAGGGAGUAGCUACCAAUCUUCUUGAACACGCUCCUCUUCAUAAUCCCCUUCAUCCAGCCGGCCGCUCACCCAGAUCUGCAGCUCCACCAGAACUCACUCCAGCCAUUGCCAGCAACUCCAACGCUUCCUAGCCAUGUCUGCAUCUUCCUCGUCGGUAGGCCAUGACGAGGUCUGGCCUCUUGUUCCAUGCAAGGACUGCCAUGCCCGGAUUUACACUUGGAUUGCUCACAGCGGAUUAAACGCUGGUCACUUCUACAAGUGAGUCAAUACGGAUAGAGGGCUCUGUGGAUACAUGAGGUCGAGCGAGGAGUAUCGUGCUCAGCUGAGUGACCAGAUUGUUGGAGAUCCUGUAGCCGCCCCUCAUCAACCCGCAGCUUACAGGCACCAGAGAGCUAGAUCAGGCGAACCAAUGGAGGAGUGGAGCCGCGGAAGCGAGCUUGCACGGAAUGGCCGAGCGGAGCAGCAGGCAUGGAGCGGGCACGCUCGGGUUAACACAGGAGGCGCAGCGGCGGCCACGUCAUGCCUCCUUGUUAUGCUAGUUGCUGCCAUACUGCCACUGGUGGUCGGAGUGUUUAUGUUAGCCAAGAUAGCCUAUUUGCUUCGUAGGUAGGAGAAUAGGUUAGUGCAGCCGUGUUCGUCAGAUAUCCUUGUGGUGCUAAGUUAAAUCCUUGUAAUCACUCAUGUCCGCCAGUAAUGAAUUAUGUUCCCGGUAUUAAUCUAAUUUUGUUGA